GCGUUGCUUCAACCCUGGGGAGCAGCCUAUGCUUCGAGACUUUGCCGUUGGCCACCUUGUGCUAUCGUCGGAUGUUGGACAGGAAUGCAGCGCAUCGAGAGGGAGGGGGAUGAAGAUAAUUUGAGAAAUUAUCCCCAAUAUGGUAUGGGACUGUCGUCCACAAGAACCGACCGACCGGCAGCCAGGCCUGUGGAGCAGACCUGAGAGGACAAGAGUGACUCCAUUUUAAUGAUUCCAGGACUUCCUUCCGUUUUAUGCUCCCCUCCAGUUUGUCUUAUGAUCCCCUCCAGUUUGUGAAAUUGUCGACUCCCGGACAAGAAAGAGAACCACAACAUUCUUUUGACUCCCACGUGGAGACUCCGUGAUCGCUUCACGUCGUUAACUCCUGACUGCAGCUCUUAAUUGUCGACUGCACAUCUGUUUAUCUCCAGAAAAUAGGAACUGAACCCAAGAACUGAUGGCCAACUCUCCCAUUCCUCCCUUCCUCCUUAAUUGGCUGCAUGCUUAAAUAAAAGUAAUGUUCUGAGGGAUGCUGGGGACUGCACGCCACCCGUAUCCCACUGGGAUGAACGGACGUGUAGCCACUUUCCUCCUUUGCUGCGCUAUCCCGA